rnacentral:rRNA from 1 species
CGUAGGAGGCGAGCGUUAUCCGGAUUCACGUGGGCGUAAAGCGCGUGCAGGCGGUGCGGUAAGUUGGGCGUGAAAUCUCCCGGCUCAACUGGGAGAGGUCGUCCAAUACUACCGUACUUGAGAGCAGAAGAGGAAGAUGGAAUUCCCGGUGUAGUGGUGAAAUGCGUAGAUAUCGGGAGGAACACCAGUGGCGAAGGCGAUCUUCUGGUCUGUUUCUGACGCUCAGACGCGACAGCUAGGGUAGUAAACGGGAUUAGAGACCCCGGUAAUCCUAGCCGUAAACGAUGUGAACUUGGCGUUGGUGGGUUAAACUCCAACAGUGCCGCAGCAAACGCGAUAAGUUCACCGCCUGGGGACUACGGCCGCAAGGUUA